rnacentral:rRNA from 1 species
UGGGGAAUAUUGCACAAUGGGCGCAAGCCUGAUGCAGCCAUGCCGCGUGUAUGAAGAAGGCCUUCGGGUUGUAAAGUACUUUCAGCGGGGAGGAAGGGAGUAAAGUUAAUACCUUUGCUCAUUGACGUUACCCGCAGAAGAAGCACCGGCUAACUCCGUGCCAGCAGCCGCGGUAAUACGGAGGGUGCAAGCGUUAAUCGGAAUUACUGGGCGUAAAGCGCACGCAGGCGGUUUGUUAAGUCAGAUGUGAAAUCCCCGGGCUCAACCUGGGAGCUGGAUCUGAUAAAGGCAAGCUUGAGUAUCGUAGAGGGGGGUAGAAUACCAGGUGUAGCGAUGAAAUGCGUAGAGAUCUGGAGGAAUACCGGUGGCGAAGGCGGCCCCCUGGACGAAGACUGACGCUCAGGUGCGAAAGCGUGGGGAGCAAACAGG